GAAGUGAGGAAUUCAGACCUUAGUACGAGAGGACCGGGUCUGACGGACCUCUGGUGUUCCAGUUGUCGUGUCAACGGCAGUGCUGGGUAGCUAUGUCCGGAAAGGAUAAGCGCUGAAAGCAUCUAAGCGCCAAGCCUCUCCCAAGAUGGCUUCUCCCUGAAGAGUCGUGGUAGACCACCACGUUGAUAGGCUACGGGUAUAAGCACAGCAAUGUGUUAAGCUCAGUAGUACUAAUUACUCGUUUGGCUUGAUAAU
rnacentral:rRNA from 1 species